AGUCUCGCGAGUUCGACGACGUUUUUAUGAGCCAUGAAAAAUGGAAUUUCCAAUAUAAGGACGAACAGAACGGCUGAGCUGAGAUACAGGAGGUCGCCUUCGACCGCGAGGAAAUACGAAAAUGGAUCAUCCGGUGGAGAAUCGAAAAUUACGUCUGAUGGUACAUCGACUUAUGUUACUACCCCAUCGAGAUCGCGACUCCUUUCCGCCCGAACGUCCACUCCGAACUCCUCGUCGAUGGCCGACUCCCCCAGGUCCUUGGAAAGCCGCUUGACGAGGGUGGGCCGCCCUUCGGCCACCAGUAGCCCAGUCAGGCAUUCGAGAGUCAGCAAUCUGUCUUCGGUUGCUGCGGCAGGCUAUGAUUCCGACGAUUCCAUCAGGUUAGAUCGAACCAACCACAAGGCCAUCAAGCAGGACAUCGUCAGCAUCAAGACGAUGCUGUUGAAGUUGAGGAGAGUUCUUAAUGAGACAGUCGAAGAAGAAUUGAUGAGGUCAGAAACUCACAACCCAUUUGAAAGUCAUCACUUGACGAAUGGGAUCUUCAACAGUCUAUGUUUGGGAGAAGGCGACCCCAGCUCACCGGCCAUGACCUCAACAGAGGACAAUGCCGCCAAGGCGCGAUUUGAGGUAGCCGAGCUGCGCCGCCAAGUAUUGUUCCUGCAGGGACAACUGGAAGACCGAGAAAAGACUGUGCAGUCUUUGCAGGAGCAGAUGAUCAAACUGAACAAUGACAACUACCAUGCAAACUCGGCGCCCGCUUCAACCAUGUCUUGCGACAGUCAGACCUGCAACGCUGCCACUCAAACGGAAAGGAUUCGGCCAAUAUCUGCGGGUCCAUCCCUACUAAAUGGUUCUUCAGUUGAUGGGAGUGCUGGGUCUCUAGUCAGCUUUAGAAUUGGGAAGGUAGUAUUUGCCGAUUUUUUGUUUGGUGUUACCAUCCUCUGUGCCGUCAAUCUUUUGUGCAUUCUGCAUUUAAUUUACUCCUGUACUUGUUGAAAAAAUAUUCUUGAAUAUCCCAUUUUUCUUUUUAUAAAAGUGUCAUACCUUUCUCUUUCAUAGAUUUUUGUUCAUCAAAUGAUCAAAUUUUCAAGAGACUUCUAUUUUUAAACGAUUUGUCAAAGUGGCCUUAAUUAUUCAAAUAUUGUUCACAUGUUAUACCAGUACUUGUAAUACUUUUUGUAUUUUUCAUGCUGCAAUCCAGCAAUUCCAGUGUGAAUGAACAUUCACCAUCUCGAAGAUCUCGCCUGCCUUCGCAAGUGGAUCCUUGUAGACGAACCGCUUCAAGGCUAUGGAGGCAACC